GCCUUUUGCUUACGCUGUCGUGGCCGUGCUCCAAUCUUCAUCUGAGGGAUUAUCGUCAUAAGGCCUUGUGUCCUCGCUUGUCCUGUUAAAUUCAUCGUAGUGCAUGGAGAUGAAAGCGGGGGCACGAAUACACUCAAACAGAAGUAAAGCGCUGUGAUCCGAGAUUUUUGUCAAAAGGUCUAGCUCGAGAAGAUGAGGAAUUUCGUGAUGGCCCUUGUCCUUGUUUUCAUUCUUAGGCUACGCAUAGCGAUCCCAGUAGGCUCUUUGCAAGAGGAUCAAAGUAAUUUCUCUGCCUUCCAUUGAGGUUUGAGAGCAAGGGAUUAUUGCCUUUCUUGUCUCUACGCAAUAAUCAUUAAGAAAAACAUACCUGAAUUCAUUAUUGAAUCAAACUGGAGAGUGAGAUUGGGUGCAGUUCAUGGCUAUACAGCCGGUAUCCAAAUUAGUGUGUAGCUGAAUGGUCUUUUGCUUCAGUUUCUAAGCAAUUGACGUCUGUUAAGACAAGAACAGGAUUGUUUGAUGCCAGGCUGGCAACGGCAAGCUGAGUGCCUCUAUAUUUCAGGGCCUGGCCCGUCUUGAAUUUCUGGGCCAAGCCGUUGCUCAACCUUUAUGGACUCAGAGAAGGGCAACUUCAUAUCUUUCUCAGAAGUUUCAAUUUCACCUUACUAAUGAAAAACUCACUUUUUGAUUUU